CUCCCAUCAGCUCCCCAGGCAACUGGAAACACCGCCUGAUCCACAGCGUGGGAAGAUCUGAGACGCGAGAUUAGCGGAGAAGGAACUACAACCAGAUAUCAGCGUCUGCCCCGGCUACUGCCGUGCUAAAACACGCGCUCUGCUCUGCACAGCGCGUGGAUCUGGAGGUAUCAUCUCUUGGAGGACAAUGGGUGACGGACCCCAGAUGCUCAGCCACAGAGAGUUAUUGGAGUAUGUACCAGGACAGCAAGCGGCAAACAUGGCACCUGCUGUGCCCAAAAAGACUCCCCGUGGGCUUCUGUACUUCCAAGAUCUCUGUUCUUGCAUCUGACUCCCAGAAGAAGUGCCAGGACUCAAAAUGAAACCCUACAAGCAGUCAAAUACUUUGGUCAUCUUGGUGGCCAACAUGAGUUCACAAGAACCCCAGAUUACUGAGGGAGGAGCCAUCUUAGUUUGGCAGUAAGAAAUUUUGGGGAUUGGGAAGCCUGAAUUCCCAGGACUGUACAGGAACUGGAUGAACCAUCAGGUGAGACUGUGCAGUACGUGGGCAGGGUUGUACAAUGCUUCUCCUUGCUCUUCUGUGACUGAAUACAGCCAGCCAGGCACAGAUAUUAUUUCCCCCAAGCAGCCAGGCAUAACCCAGUCCUGUUUACCUGCCUAGCAACACAUAUUAAUUACAUCCCAGGGAGCUGGUGAUAUAUAAUCCAGCAUUCAGCCUAUUGCCAUCAUCUGAUUAGUCUAUGUGUUUUGAGUAUUAAACACUGCAGAAGAAAAGUAUCUAAAAUUUUCAUGCAGUCAUAGGACUGCUCCCACCUUUACACAACACAUUGAAACAUUAAUGGCAUUUAUAAUAUAAAAUGUUUUUGGAUUGCAAGUAGCAACUUGAUGUAAACAUUUUUAAUCUUGCAAAUUGGAAGCAAAAUAGAUCCAAUUUGAAAAUUAGCUACUAUUUUAAUGUUUCCCCUAUUUUCCUAAUUAACAUUAAAAAAGUAUUGAGCAAACAAAUAUAUCUGGACUUUGGUUCAUUCAAGCAUCUAUUAUUACUACACUCACAUUGUCUUUUUUCUAAUUGGCUGCUCUUUAUGGUGAAAAUGGACAUACUGUCUUCCUCAAUUCUGAGUGAGAGGCAAGGGUAAAAGAGUAAGAUUGGAAAGAAACAGAACAGAUGCACCAGAACACUUCUGCAUAGUUAUGGCAGUUAACAGAAGUAGAAAUGGUUAGGGAAGGAAAUGAGCUUGUGAUCCUACAUGUUGCACAUGUAUUCAUGUGAGAUCACAGCUCUGUUCUUUAUGAUUUGUCUCACCCACUCUAUCUCUUUUUAGACCCCCCUGCAUACCAUGCUUGGGGAGCUGCAGCCUCGCUUGUUCCUACAGCCCACUUGCUGAUGGCCUGUAUGGGCUGCAGCGGUCAAACUGAAGGCAAGCACUCUCAAAGCAUCCCAUUCUUACUGCUGCACUCUCAUUCAACUUUUUUUUAUUCCAUUUUCAAAUGCAGCUCAUACCUUCCCUCUUCUCUUUUACAGCUUACCUUUGCACAGAAACAUCUAUUUCUCCAUGCUGGUGCCUUGGCAAGGGCUGUGGGCUGUACAGCACUGAAGAGGGUUAGGCAUUUACAUGAAUAGUGAAAAUGUAUCAGAGCAUUAAAAAAAUGUGUAUGAUAAAUAAAAACCUUUGUGCUUAAAGGUAUACAUGAUAAGGAUAGAAAGACUUUCAUCCUGUUGUUAUAGAGAUUUCAGUUUUCCAAAGCAUCUGUUUUUGAUGACUGUUGGAAGCAGGAUACAAGACUUACAUCAAAGACAGGUUCAAACUGGUUCCAGCUCUGCUCAGUUCCUAGGGCCUCUAGCCCCAAAAUGUAAAAAAAUACUUAAUAAUCAGAGCAAAAAAUUAAAUAAUUAUUACAAAUAUAAUAAUAUUUUUCAUUUUUAUGUCUAUUUUUAUUCUGAGACCCUUCUCAAAUUAUGUAUAUGAAUGAGAAUUAGUGGUGACAGAUUUUUUUGAUAAAGACAGUGUUGACACAGGCACUGCAGGACCUUUAAACUGAUACUCAGCAAUUACUUCUGCCCAUCCAAUCUCCAAAUCAAUCCAAUUUACUCCGUCAGCUCUGCAACCAGUUCUCUCACUAACCUUUUACACUUCCCCAUAUCAAUGUGCCUGUUGCUUCCUUCUCUUUGCAGGAAGGCUGCAGGUGCAGCCAAGAUGCUUUAUUUCCCUCAUUUUGGAUGAAGUGAGCGAUACAUGUAUGAAUUAUUCUUCAUCUCUUGACCAUUUCAGUAGUUUUUCCAAAAUGAAAGUUUUUAGAGUUUUCUUUUUGUCUGUUUCAGAUAGUUCUUUACCCAAAACCAAAAAAUAACUCUCUCCUAUGACAGAUGUGCCUUCUGGGUGGUUAGAAACAAAUUAACAGCAUGGUUCAGAAUGCACACUUAUGGCAUGGAGAAUUACUCUGAAUUAAGAAGUGUCUCAUAGAUGUAGUGUCUUCCCUAUGAAGACAAUGGAAAAUCAGACUCUUAUAUCUCUUCAAUUUCUAUGCAGUUUUUUUUAGAUUUUACAGUAAGAUUUUACCCUUCAGAAUUUUACACCUUUGCACACAAGAAAAGAGUCAAGUCAAGUGUGCAACAACUGCAGAGUAACUUACUUAAAAUAUAGAUACUAGACAAGCUUUUUAAUUUUUUUUAGAUACUUAGACAAAAUUUAUACAUCAGGUCUAGGCCAGAAAGCAAGUAUGAAUAAAUCUCAUGGAAGUUGGAGGUACAGCAGAAACUCAGCAUCAAGCAUAGUUUUGACCCUGCAAUGUCAGACCACAAGGACAAUUAAGUUAAUUAAUACAAGCCUUUAUGGGCUCUCAUGCCGGUUCUUCCAGUCAGUCUGGGUGAGCGACCUUUACUUGGCCAUUGCUUGAUGUUGAAAUGCUGAAACUAGUAUUUAAGGCAGCUUUUAUAUUAAGUGUGUUUAUAUACAUACAUGUGAAUGUGUAUCCAUGCACGUGUGUGUGCACACACACACACACACACUUAUGUAAGUAUACUUUCAAGGAUUUCAAGGAAAGAAAGACCAAUCCAGCUGUCAAGACAAAUACAUUUCUCAUUGGGAGAACCUGACCAUCAUGUUUUGCUUCUCUCAUUUUUAUUGUGUUAUUUAAUACAGGUGUUAAAUUCCAGUUAGAGCAAAUGGCAUAGCUACAAAGAAAAACUGCCCUCGCCAACACCUAGAAGUAGUUUUCCUGAAAAGUCUAACCAUAGGGUGUCACAUUGUAUGUCCCCUUGAUGUGUGGCCUCACAGCAUGGCAAAAAACUGAAAGCAGAAUCAGGGAGUUUGGUUUAUAGAAGGGGCAUUCCCUGAAGAGAAAGGAGAGAGAAGCGAAGGCCCACAGCUUCUUUCAUCUCAAAGCUCUUUAAACUUCAUACAACCAUUAAAUCACCUAAACCCUUUAAAACACAGUGCUUGUAACAGGACUCACUUUAAAUAAGUUCUCUCAGUUUUAAUGCCCUACCUCUCUUGCAGCAGGACCAGCCAUUCCUUUCAAAGUGAGAUUUCUCAUCUCAGGAUUAUUUUAAGCACCACUUCCUCCCUUUAUAAUAUAAAAGUGUCAGGAGCAUUCCUCAGUUGGGUUUAUUGAGGAGUCUGUCCUUCUAGUCAUGUGAACACAAAGUCCUUCUUUACAGAAUUACAGAAAUAACCUGUAAACAAGUAUUUCAUUUGUACCUCCCUGUUGUCAUCACAUUUUCUUUCCCUGUGGCUGUAAGUCUCUAAGGCAGAAUAGCUAUUUAAUGAUCAAACAAACUGGCACUGUUCAUCCCUAGAAGAAAAGCACAUCAAUAAAACAAGAAAUAUUUCAGCUAAGUGAUAACAGACCAGGUGCCACAGUUUGCAAAGUAAUUACCUGUGGAUACCAGAGGAUUACAACUGAAAAGAACUAGAUACCCUUUCUGUUAUAGCUGACAAAUAGAAGACCUAAUCUCAAUUUAACAGUUGGAAUUACAUGAGUAAAUGUAAUAAAAAAUGCUCCUCUAUUCUGAAAAUUGCACCUGAAGCUCCAAUUCCAAUUGUUUUGCAGCAUGGAAAUAAAAAUAGCAGAUAUGAUGAAAAUAUAGUGUAUGUAUGUAUCUAUCCUGGCAUAUGAUAGAGCAUAAUAUUAUAUAUAUUAUAAAUCAUGUGUAAGUGUAUACACACACACACACACACACACACACAAUAAUAGUAAGGUUAGCAUUAUGAGUAAGGCUAGUGUUCAACCUGCCAGUUUAUUUGUCUGUAAGCAGAGGAAAAGGAAAAGAAUAAUUGAAUUGCUCCUAUUUUUCUCAACUUUGGAAACAGUUAGUAGUUAAAUUUGUUUUUAUUUUAUUUUAAUCUAAACACAAGGUCCUAUUCACAAGGCAGAAUGCAGUACCAUCAGUGAUGAUGCUUUUUGAUUUGAAUGGAGAUGUCACAAGCUGAGUAUUUGCCCAGCAAAGAGGCUGGGCAAGGUCCCUCAGCUGACAGGGAUCUCUGCACUUGGACUGACAGCAGGCCCAGGCAACAGCUGAUGAUCCCAUGCCAGCUGUCUGCUGGCGUUACUGAAGUUGUUAACUGUGCUUAUAUUGAAAUGAUAAAGUGCUUCACACACAGCACAUCUGGAGAAGCAAUUCACCACCAGGUGGCAGAUACCACAACUUGAAUUUCAAAUGCUGGAGAGACCAAACGGCAGCACUGAUUCAGAAAAAACUAUCUGUUGCAGAUGUAUUUUAGAAAAGUAAACAGAUACUCUUCUCCUUGGACCGAGUACAAGAAUGUACUGCAUGGACCCUGCCAUGCUCCAAGUUACAGACUAUUGAUUACUGUGUUACAGUUAUUACUGUGUUAUAAUAAAUUUUAAUUCCCAGAUGAAUUCUAAAGAAAAAAAGCCUUUUUUGGUUCACUACUGACUUUCCUAGAGUAAGAGUUAAUAUCUCAUCCAACACUUGCUCAUUUAUACCUGUACUGUUCAAUAGACUAAACCCUACAUAGGACAUUUGAUUUCUUAUCCAUUUGGAAUGUAUUGGUUCAGAAUAGUGAGCUAAAAUUGGUCCCUGAGAGCAUUCAUGGAUAGUAUGAUGGGCAGAAAAUGAAAAUUUUGCCAAGGUAUUUCAAGAGUGCUUGAUUCACUCUGUUGAAGCUAUUCAGUCCUCCCUGUAACAAAGAAAAGCAUUAUGAGCAAUUUCCAAAUUAUGGGCAUUCCUCUGUAAUCUGUAUGUCUCAGAUCAGUACAAGUUUGUAUAAUUUGUCUUGUUAGAUUGCAAGUGCUCCAAGGCAGUAACCAGUUUUUGUCGCCGUAUCUGCAGAGGGUUUAGCAUGCUGGUACCCUGACAAAGCACUUAAUCAAAUAAUAGAUCAUUUUCAUGAUAAGUCAAGGUGCUUCACAGAUAGUUUAAUAAGCUUUGAGAAGCAAGUAUUUGAGAAAGAACAAAGUGGGAGCUGGGAGACAACCAUGUAGUGAAUGGACUCUUAAUGAGUGUAUUAGCUCUCAACAGUGCUAACAUUUCAGAGAGCCUGUGAUAUAAAUGAACCUGAACGUUGAAGAUUUGUUUCCAGUAUUUUUUUAAGACAAACAUAUUUUCAUUAUUUUUGUAAGCUUUGUCCUUAAAAACUUGAGAUUUUUUCCCCUACUAAUAAGAAAAUAAUUAUAAAAUAA